UAGAGCUAUUUCUCAUCACGCCACUGACCAACGCCGUGACAGCCGCCUCUCUCUUGUCUCCCUCCCUGCUUUCUCCGGCCUCAAAUCCACCACCUCUACAGCCUCACGCGCCACCACAACCACUAACCGCCGGCGUCGUGUGUCUUCCCGUCAUGUAAGGGCGGCGGCAGUGGAGACAUUGGAUGCGACGACAGAGACUUCACUGGUGGAGAAGUCGGUUAAUACAAUUAGAUUUCUUGCUAUUGAUGCUGUUGAAAAGGCCAAUU
rnacentral:lncRNA from 1 species